rnacentral:rRNA from 1 species
AUUGAACGCUGGCGGCAGGCCUAACACAUGCAAGUCGAGCGGAUGAAGGGAGCUUGCUCCUGGAUUCAGCGGCGGACGGGUGAGUAAUGCCUAGGAAUCUGCCUGGUAGUUGGGGAUAACGUCCGGAAACGGGCGCUAAUACCGCAUACGUCCUGAGGGAGAAAGUGGGGGAUCUUCGGACCUCACGCUAUCUGAUGAGCCUAGGUCGGAUUAGCUAGUUGGUGGGGUAACGGCCUACCAAGGCGACGAUCCGUAACUGGUCUGAGAGGAUGAUCAGUCACACUGGAACUGAGACACGGUCCAGACUCCUACGGGAGGCAGCAGUAGGGAAUAUUGGACAAUGGGCGAAAGCCUGAUCCAGCCAUGCCGCGUGUGUGAAGAAGGUCUUCGGAUUGUAAAGCACUUUAAGUUGGGAGGAAGGGCAGUAAGUUAAUACCUUGCUGUUUUGACGUUACCAACAGAAUAAGCACCGGCUAACUUCGUG